CUCAAGUCCAGCUGGCUGCUCAGGGCAGACUAGGUGCUGAGAGAGGCAGGCACCUCCAGCAUCCUCUGCUCAGGGAACUAACAAGCCACAUUCUCACGGUGAUCAUUUCCCGCUGUUGAACUUGCUGAACCUAAGCUCUCUAUUAAUUCUCUGUCAAAUGAGCUCCUCUGGGAUAAGCUGUCCUGGAACUGUUAUUCCUCUGCCUUUGGACCCCACCAGCAGCUCCGAACCCCUGCC
rnacentral:lncRNA from 1 species